GUGAGCAUGGUGUAAUGGUGUGAGCGCUGGACUACAACUCCAGAGAUCAGGGUUCGAUUCCCCGCUCAUC